AGUGAACGCUGGCGGUAGGCCUAACACAUGCAAGUCGAACGGCAGCACAGUAAGAGCUUGCUCUUACGGGUGGCGAGUGGCGGACGGGUGAGGAAUACAUCGGAAUCUACUUUUUCGUGGGGGAUAACGUAGGGAAACUUACGCUAAUACCGCAUACGACCUACGGGUGAAAGCAGGGGAUCUUCGGACCUUGCGCGAUUGAAUGAGCCGAUGUCGGAUUAGCUAGUUGGCGGGGUAAAGGCCCACCAAGGCGACGAUCCGUAGCUGGUCUGAGAGGAUGAUCCGCCACACUGGAACUGAGACACGGCCCAGACUCCUACGGGAGGCAGCAGUGGGGAAUAUUGGACAAUGGGCGCAAGCCUGAUCCAGCCAUACCGCGUGGGUGAAGAAGGCCUUCGGGUUGUAAAGCCCUUUUGUUGUGAAAGAAAAGCAGCAGGUUAAUACCCCGCUGUUCUGACGGUACCCAAAGAAUAAGCACCGGCUAACUUCGUG
rnacentral:rRNA from 1 species